rnacentral:rRNA from 1 species
GAUAUGAGGCGCGCUACCAUGCAAGUCGAGCGCACCCUUCGGGGCGAGCGGCGGACGGGUUAGUAACGCGUGGGAACGUACCCUUUUCUACGGAAUAGCCUCGGGAAACUGAGAGUAAUACCGUAUAAGCCCUUCGGGGGAAAGAUUUAUCGGUAAAGGAUCGGCCCGCGUUAGAUUAGAUAGUUGGUGGGGUAAUGGCCUACCAAGUCUACGAUCUAUAGCUGGUUUUAGAGGAUGAUCAGCAACACUGGGACUGAGACACGGCCCAGACUCCUACGGGAGGCAGCAGUGGGGAAUCUUAGACAAUGGGCGCAAGCCUGAUCUAGCCAUGCCGCGUGUGUGAUGAAGGCCUUAGGGUCGUAAAGCACUUUCGCCAGGGAUGAUAAUGACAGUACCUGGUAAAGAAACCCCGGCUAACUCCGUGCCAGCAGCCGCGGUAAUACGGAGGGGGUUAGCGUUGUUCGGAAUUACUGGGCGUAAAGCGUACGUAGGCGGAUCAGAAAGUAGGGGGUGAAAUCCCGAGGCUCAACCUCGGAACUGCCUCCUAAACUCCUGGUCUUGAGUUCGAGAGAGGUGAGUGGAAUUCCAAGUGUAGAGGUGAAAUUCGUAG